CAUGUACUCCCUCCGUCCCAUAUUAAGUGACUUUCUAUUACAUGUAUCUAGACUCUUUUUAGGCAUAGAUAGAUCCAUAUUUGGGCAAAUUUGAGUCACUUAAUAUGGGACGGAGGCAGUAGGAG
rnacentral:pre_miRNA from 1 species